UACAUUAACAGUAGGUUUUUAUGCUGAUUACGACGUUUAAAGGAAACUAAUAUUAACACUCAUCAAUAAGUAGUCGUGAAUUGGAACAAGUAUAAAUUUAAAAAAAUUGGAAAAGUAAAAAGCACUAGUUCGACAUAACCAACUUUCCGCACGCUAAACAGCUACGUAAAGUAGCACUUUGUGAGCAACUGUAUUAAAAUAGUACAUUUCGAUGCUAGUGCGGAAGGUAUGUCAUUACUUCACGAGUACCGAGAUAUCUUGCCACGAGCCGCAGGCGAGUGGGAAGACUCGGGACGAGUGAAGAAUGACAUUUCCGCACGUGUAUCGAACGACGUUUUUUAAUACAGUUGCGAAAAAAUAAGUAAAACAUUGUUAAUCGUACACUAAACAAAAGUGGUAACAGUGACAGCUCGCUUAGACGUCGUCUUUAAGUAUAUUAUAUCUAUGGGCGUUUGGCAGCUAUUCCGUUCCAUUCAGACACCUUAUUAAGAACGGAAUUUUCAAUAUUCAAUAUUAAAAAAUAAACGUGUUAUAAUGAUGAAGAGUUAUUCGGUUAACCCUUUGACCGCCGUUGUCCGGUAUAGAAGACAACGAUAGACCGAUACGCUGGCGCCGUCGUCUUGUAUACAAGACAGAUAUUCAACCACUGAGUUAAUGUGAAAAUAAUAACAAUUGCAAUUUCAUUUACACUCGUGUUCAUAUUUAAGGUCUUUGUUUUUUCAUUUAUUUGCUUUUUAAGCCGCUAUAUAAAUACCUUCUUUUAAUAUAAGGCAUUUAAAAAAAUUGCUCCAAUUUUCAAAAAUUUUAUGUUUCUCGUCGCCGUUGUCUUGUAUAAAAGACAGCUAGGGAUGGGAAUGUUAACUCGAUAUGGGAAUUUUUAAAGUAAAUAUAAAGUCAGAAAUAUGUUUUUAUCUAAGUAUUUGAACACUUGUUAAUCGCCAAUUUUUUUCAACGAACAGUAGGUAACUACUUACUAGAAUACGUAGAACGAGAGUCAGAUAGGCAUAACUAUAUUUAAAGUUCAGGCAGCUUCUUUGGCUCUAUAAAGUAGAGUCAGACAAGUAAAUUUGCCCUUGUAGAUUGUGGACUAUUUAAUUGCAGAAGAGAUAAAUAAAAAUAAUAAUUGAUGUUAUUUUAUAGCUUAGUGGGAAGGGAUACACCGCAGCGACCGCUUCGCACAAGAGUGGUACAGGGACAUACCUGUUUAUCAGACUUUAGUUUUUUGUUAUAACAUUGAAGUUAAUGUGUAAUUUUUUAAUAACAAGUCGUUGAACGUUUUUUUGAUAAGAGUUUACCUAUAGAUUAAUGUAAACCAAACUGAAAUUAUAAUGAUAGAUUCUAAUUCCGGAAUAA